CCUACGGGUGGCAGCAGUGAGGAAUAUUGGUCAAUGGACGAGAGUCUGAACCAGCCACGUCGCGUGAAGGAUGACUGCCCUAUGGGUUGUAAACUUCUUUUAUAAAGGAAUAAAACGAGGCACGUGUGCCUUUUUGCAUGUACUUUUUGAAUAAGGCUCGGCUAACUCUGUGCCAACAGCCGCGGUAAUACGGAGGGUCCGAGCGUUAUCCGGAUUUAUUGGGUUUAAAGGGGGCGUAGAUGGGUUGUUAAGUCAGUUGUGAAAGUUUGCGGCUCAACCGUAAAAUUGCAAUUGAUACUGGCAGUCUUGAGUGCAGUUGAGGUAGGCGGAAUUCGUGGUGUAGCGGUGAAAUGCUUAGAUAUCACGAAGAACCCCGAUGGCGAAGGCAGCUUACUAAACUGUGACUGACAUUGAGGCUCGAAAGUGUGGGUAUCAAACAGGAUUAGAUACCCCAGUAGUC
rnacentral:rRNA from 1 species